AGGAUGAACGCUGGCGGCGUGCCUAACACAUGCAAGUCGAACGGAGUUAUUUUGGAAAUCUCUUCGGAGAUGGAAUCUUUAACUUAGUGGCGAACGGGUGAGUAACGCGUGAGGAACCUGCCUCAAAGAGGGGGACAACAGUUGGAAACGACUGCUAAUACCGCAUAAGCCCACAGCUCGGCAUCGAGCAGAGGGAAAAGGAGCAAUCCGCUUUGAGAUGGCCUCGCGUCCGAUUAGCUAGUUGGUGAGGUAAUGGCCCACCAAGGCGACGAUCGGUAGCCGGACUGAGAGGUUGAACGGCCACAUUGGGACUGAGACACGGCCCAGACUCCUACGGGAGGCAGCAGUGGGGAAUAUUGCACAAUGGGGGAAACCCUGAUGCAGCGACGCCGCGUGGAGGAAGAAGGUCUUCGGAUUGUAAACUCCUGUUGUUGAGGAAGAUAAUGACGGUACUCAACAAGGAAGUGACGGCUAACUACGUGCCAGCAGCCGCGGUAAAACGUAGGUCACAAGCGUUGUCCGGAAUUACUGGGUGUAAAGGGAGCGCAGGCGGGAAGACAAGUUGGAAGUGAAAUCCAUGGGCUCAACCCAUGAACUGCUUUCAAAACUGUUUUUCUUGAGUAGUGCAGAGGUAGGCGGAAUUCCCGGUGUAGCGGUGGAAUGCGUAGAUAUCGGGAGGAACACCAGUGGCGAAGGCGGCCUACUGGGCACCAACUGACGCUGAGGCUCGAAAGUGUGGGUAGCAAACAGGAUUAGAUACCCUGGUAGUCCACACUGUAAACGAUGAUUACUAGGUGUUGGAGGAUUGACCCCUUCAGUGCCGCAGUUAACACAAUAAGUAAUCCACCUGGGGAGUACGACCGCAAGGUUGAAACUCAAAGGAAUUGACGGGGGCCCGCACAAGCAGUGGAGUAUGUGGUUUAAUUCGACGCAACGCGAAGAACCUUACCAAGUCUUGACAUCCCUUGACGAUGCUGGAAACAGUAUUUCUCUUCGGAGCAAGGAGACAGGUGGUGCAUGGUUGUCGUCAGCUCGUGUCGUGAGAUGUUGGGUUAAGUCCCGCAACGAGCGCAACCCUUAUGGUCAGUUACUACGCAAGAGGACUCUGGCCAGACUGCCGUUGACAAAACGGAGGAAGGUGGGGAUGACGUCAAAUCAUCAUGCCCUUUAUGACUUGGGCUACACACGUACUACAAUGGCGUUAAACAAAGAGAAGCAAGACCGCGAGGUGGAGCAAAACUCAGAAACAACGUCCCAGUUCGGACUGCAGGCUGCAACUCGCCUGCACGAAGUCGGAAUUGCAAGUAAUCGUGGAUCAGCAUGCCACGGUGAA
rnacentral:rRNA from 1 species